UUCUGAGUGACUGCUCCUAUGGUAGUCGUUAUUGUCUAACUGCUGCUGCAGUUGCUACCAUUGUUACUGUCUACGUCUGGUAAUGCUGCUGUCAUUGCUGCUGCUCGUCUGAGAUUAUCUUAUCGGGCUGUUUUUACAAUUUAGUUUCUUCCUUUGCCACUCAUUCUCAUUCACUCAUUUGUCAUUUUAUCUGUUUUUCACCUCUGCCGAUUCCAUGAAUCACUUACGCACUCUAAUCACAACCUCGAUCCUUUUCUUUUUCUUUUUCUUUUUUUGAUCACUUUCUAACACUCUCCUUCUAAAUCUUUUCUUAUCUAUUGAUCUCUGUAUUUAUUUUCUGACCUUCGUAUACUUUGUUACUCAUCCCUCCAGUCUAUGACCAUGCCCGAGUCUCUCUAUCUUUCCUAUACCUCGUUAUCCAUCACAUCCAUCCCUACGUCACCCCACCAUCACUUCCGGUUGACCUAAGUAGAGACUGUCUUCCAAUAUGGAACAAUAAUGGAAGGUGUUAGAGACUGAAUGAAAUCAGAACAUAACUCACUCACUCCAUAGUCAAUAUUUAUUUUACAUCUUCGACUUCCCCUCCCCUUUCUCCCAAUAUUUCGUGUUGACACAUUAACAUUUUUUUAGGGCUCAGCUUGCAAUCAUUUGACCUAAGUUGUCUGGUCGCUUCAGGACAAAAACACACAGUCCAAUGAAAAUAGUCUUAAGCCAGUAUUUAGCAACACUCCAGGGUGUUCAUUAAAAAAAAUCUAUAAAAUGUCUUUUUCAGAAUGUUAGAGAAAAAUGAAUGCUUCCAACACUUUUCAGGCUUGCCCAGAUCUGGUUGGAAUGCUUGCAACAGAGUGAACUCUACCUUGAAGAGACUGAAGAACUAGGUGGAGAUGUCGUCUCAUGUCAGUCCUGAUUUCUUGGAUCUAUAAUCAAAGGCAUUCCAACCAUGACAUUGUCAUCUUUUUCCUGAAAUAGUGCACCCAGGGCCAUAUUAUCUCAUGUCUUCUUUUGUAAAUGGUGAGUGUGAUUUGAAGGAGAUUUAGCUCUGAAGCCUAGCCAGUCAGGUUUUUUCUUGGCUCAUCAGGUGUUGUUCUUCUUUAACCUCAGAUUAGCUCUGAUCAAGUGGAUCUAUGAUUAAAGCACUCUAAAGCCAUAUUGAUUUCAACUUAUUUUCAGUCAAUCUAUUCAGAACUACAGUAUUCAAUGUUUCUUUUCUUUUUUUUUUUUUUAAGAGAUGGCAAAGAAUUUGACUGCUCUCUCCAGCUAUGUCGAGCCCCAUCCCUGCCCACCUCAUCAUCAGAUUUCUUACCACUGCUUUUGAAGCAGAGUUGAUGGUGUUAAAAUGGGUGACAUUAAGCAUUAGUGUCACCAUGAAUUAAUUUAUGAUAAUUUUUAUAUGAAAACCAUGUUAAAUCCUGGUUAAUACUAGAUUCCCCCCCCCCUUUUUUAACACUAUUAAGUUGAUGAACAACUCUUGGUGAUUUGACAAAUACUAUGUGUAUGUCAUGUGGAGGUGCGUAGCUUAGUAAUUAUGGUGUUGCACUCAUUGUAAGAUUGUGGUUUUGGUUCCUGGACUGGGUGACAAUUGUGUUCUCAAGCAAAGCACUUCAUUUCAUGUUGCUCCAGUCCACUCAGCUGGCAAAAAUGAGUAAUCCUGCAACGGACCAGCAUCCCGUCCAGGUGGGGAAUAUGUUCACCAUGAAACCAGAAAACUGGCCCUUAUGAGUCAGCAUGAUUCUAGAGGAUAACUUUACUAUGUCAUGGAUUUUGGGUGAAGUAAAACAAAAGGACUUUUCUCUUUUUUAUUGUUUUCUCAGGAGGGAGGAGCAGUCCCCAUGAGCCUUUACAGGGUACCUGAGACUGGUGGAACUAAAGGAGGAAGGUAUCUUCAAACCAGAGACAAUUGGCAUGUCAAAGCAUUAAACUAGCUACAAUAAACAGUGAAAAACAUGAAAACUUUCGUGAGCAAAUUAAAUAUUUAAAAGCUACAACCAAACCAACAGGAGUUGCUAGAAAUAACAGUCAAAACAUUUAUUAUUUUAAAAAAUUCAAGAAUGAAAGUUUGCAAUACACUCUAGGAUUUUAUAAAAUAAAUUAUCUUUCUCAUAUCUCCUACACAUAGGAAAGGUUUAAUGCUGUGGCCAUUGUUCUAGAAUUGAAUUCCUUCUGUUAUGAAAAUAAACAAUUAUAGAACACGUAGUGGUUACACUCCUUGUGCACAUGCACAGCAUCUUUGAUUGUUAUGGAAACAAAGUUCUUUGCCACAGUGAUGUGUAAAAUCACUUCUCAUUGGCUAAAAUACUCAAAUUUUGCAAAUUUUAAAGGCUAAUAACUUUUUGAUUAUGGAUUUACAGGAGGAAGUAUAUAUCUACCAAGGAGUAAGUAACUGACAGACUAUCUAUUUAAAUAAGUGUGAUACUUGCAGACGAGUGAUUUGUUUGGCCAAAAAGAAGAAAAGGGCAGGUGCAGUAUUGUGUAUUCAGUAAAAUGAUUGCCUGGCAAGUAAUAGAUAUGACACACACACAUAAUGAGUUCUCAUCUACCAACUGCACUCACAAGGCUUUGUUUGGCCUGAGGCUACAGUAGAAGACAGCUACCCAAGGUGCCAUUUAGUGGGACUGAACCCAAGAUCCUAAGGUUGAGAAGCAAGUUUCUUAACCACACUCUUAUUCCGGUAUAUAUAACACACACACACACAUAUGCCUACUAUUUUGUAACUCUGUAUCUACUUAUGUCCAACCAACCAACCAAACUAUUUGUGCAUCUCUUUUUGUUCCUUCCCUACCUCUCAAACAUGCUUUCUUGCUCUUUUCCUCUCUCUCUCAAUAUCAUUCCUUGCUACUUCUUCAACAUCCCCAACACUUACUUCCUCCUCUGACUCUUUCUGUCUUUCUCUUCUAUAUCAAAAAAUUUUGGAAAUGUUUCUAAAUUUUGAUAAACCGCCCGAGUUCCAGUUGUUAUCUCCGAGAGUAUGGAGAUUACAAAGCAAAGAUAAGAGUACCAAUUCACCAUAGUUGGAAUGUCUUAAUCUUAUCUAUGUUGCCAAUCCUUGAUUUGCUAACAUUAGUGCAUAUUUUAAGCACACCAUAGUUCUUCAUAGGAUCAGGAACAGAUAGGGUUGUUGCUGUUUACAAUCAGGUUUUCCUUAAAGGUAAACUGUAUUAAGUGCAGGAUAAAGUAUUUAGCAAUAUUUAGUUUAUGUUUCUCAACAUUCUGUGUUCAAAUCCUACACUUUCUCUUUUAUCUUUCCAAGCUUUAGUAAAAUAAACAACAGAAUAAACAAGCAAACAAUGAAGAAAACAAUCAACAAGUGACCAGCAUUAGAAAGAACAACAAUGAUGAUGAGGCUGAUGAUGAUGACAAUGAUUUCUUUAAUUGGUCACAAGUGCUCAAGAUAUUGCGGAGAAUAUAAACAGACAAAAUACAACACAUUAAAGCAGCUGUUCAAGAAGGAAAACAACAAUUUACUGUUAUUUCAAAGAGACCACUACAGUUUCUUGGUGCCUGGGUAACUUGUGUUUCUAAGAUGCCAGCACUUGGCAAAGUUGUCAAUCAACCUGUAGAGUGUACAGUUAAGUGCAUUUCAAGAAUUUGGAAAAGUUUAAUAAUUGAGUUGAUGACUAAGGAUGGGAUUUGAACUCAGAAUGCAUAGAGCCAGAACAGAAACAAGCUAUCCGAUGCUAUAACAGUUCUUUCAACCCACAACUCUGAACUAGUACUUAUUUUAUUGAUCUCUAAAGUAUGAAAGGUAAAGUUGUGUGUGUAUGUAUUUUCAUACUUACAUGCAUAUUUAAAAGCUCCUAAAGAUAUACUUCUAUGUAUGUAUGGGUAAGUUUUUUUUUGUUUUACCUCAGUUCCUUGUAUUGAAAGAUAUAUUUGAGGUGUGGUAGCAAUGUGUGAGUAAUAACUUUUGAAGGCUCAAUUGCUUUCUGUGAGGUCCCCUGACCUUGUUAACCUUAUAUUGAAGUUCACUGUUGUUGAAUACUAAUGCCUAGCUUUACUUGACCUGUCUAUUCAUUUAUGACCUCUGUGGAAUCUUUAAAUCAUGGGCUGUUUGGUCUCACUUACCCAUCUAUAUAAUUACUUUGGCUGAAAAUUCAUUUAUAUUAUUUGCUUUUUCACUUUAUUUUACUUUCUUUUCUCAUUUCUUUGUGCUUUUAGUUUACAUUAAAGAUUGUCAAUUCCCUAAAUUUCUAUCUGGUAGUUUACCUUAUUUGAUAUGAAGCAAUUUAAUCUUUAACCUUUAUUUAUCCCCACUUAAAUCUAGAUGUUCUGUUAGAACAAACUAUACUGUGGUAGUUACCAUGAGAGAACCUCUCAUAUUGGCUUUCAGUGCUAAAUGCACUCUUGUUUAUGUUGCCUCCCAUGUUCAGACUACCAGAUCCUGUGAUUUUCACCUUUCUUGGUCUUAGUAAUGAUAGAUGCUCAACAGCUAGAAGUAGCAGUGAUUCGUCUCCCCGCCAAUAAUAUGUGGAAUAACGGUGCCAGAACAGGUCCUGGUAUCAUGAUUAACCAGUGACCUUGUUUCUUUGAUCCUUGAUUCAAGAAUCUUCAUGUAUGUGUAUAUAUAGGUGCAGGAGUGGCUGU